rnacentral:rRNA from 1 species
CAUGCAAGUCGAGCGGUAACAGGUGUAGCAAUACAUGCUGACGAGCGGCGGACGGGUGAGUAACGCUUGGGAAUCUGCCUGUUAGUGGGGGACAACCCGGGGAAACUCGGGCUAAUACCGCAUACGCACUACGGUGGAAAGCCGGGGACCGCAAGGCCUGGCGCUAACAGAUGAGCCCAAGUCGGAUUAGCUAGUUGGUAGGGUAACGGCCUACCAAGGCGACGAUCCGUAACUGGUCUGAGAGGACGACCAGUCACACCGGAACUGAGACACGGUCCGGACUCCUACGGGAGGCAGCAGUGGGGAAUAUUGGACAAUGGGGGCAACCCUGAUCCAGCGACGCCGCGUGGGUGAAGAAGGCCUGCGGGUUGUAAAGCCCUUUCGGUGGGGAAGAAAAGUCUCGGCCUAAUACGCUGGGACCUUGACGUAACCCACUAAAGAAGCACCGGCUAACUCUGUGCCAGCAGCCGCGGUAAUACAGAGGGUGCGAGCGUUAAUCGGAAUUACUGGGCGUAAAGCGCGCGUAGGCGGCUUUUCAAGUCGGAUGUGAAAUCCCCGGGCUCAACCUGGGAACUGCAUUCGAGACUGUCUAGCUAGAGUAUGGGAGAGGGAAGUGGAAUUUCANGUGUAGCGGUGAAAUGCGUAGAUAUCUGAAGGAACAUCAGUGGCGAAAGCGACUUCCUGGACCAAUACUGACGCUCA